rnacentral:rRNA from 1 species
UACGUAGGGGGCGAGCGUUACCCGGAAUCACUGGGCGUAAAGGGUGCGUAGGCGGCCGCGUGUGUCUGGCGUAAAAUACCACGGCUCAACCGUGGGAAUGCGCUGGAAACUACGUGGCUUGGGUGCGGCAGAGGCAGACGGAACUGCUGGUGUAGGGGUGAAAUCCGUAGAUAUCAGCAGGAACGCCGGUGGAGAAGUCGGUCUGCUGGGCCGUUCCUGACGCUGAGGCCCGAAAGCUAGGGGAGCAAACCGG